rnacentral:lncRNA from 1 species
CUUCCUCAAGGGCAGUGGGGUCUUCUACUUUAUCUUUGUGUCCCCAGCACCCAGAUCAGUGCCUGAGACAGAAUCAGCCCUCUGCUGACGCUGGAGUGGAAUGAAGCCAUGCCCAUACCACGUCCCAAGGAGAGCAGUGAGGAGACCUCCCGGAGGUCUGGACGGGGUAGGGUAUGGACUGGGAGGAGUGACAGGGAAGCCAGACAUCACAGAGCAGACCACCUGACCAAAGAAUGAGCACACAGUUGCGGGGAGUGGUGCAGAUAAGGGAACCCCGCCCCUCUGCCACAAGGCUAGUCUGUCAGGUCAGCCAAAUCCACUGAAGCCAUACUGGAAGAACCUUGUGACCCUCUCACAAGAGGUAAGAGUUGAACUGAUGCCCGGCACACUCCCCGGAGAGCUGAGCCCCCACAAGUUGGGAGUGGGGCAGGCAGAGGGGUGAUGCCUGCCUGGUGCCAGCCUUGAAGAAACCCCGUGGCUCCUGACAGAAGGGCAGAACCUGAUACCUGGGUUUGACUAAGAGCAAAAAAGAGCAGGUGCUCUGGGCAGGUUUCAGUUUGGGGGUGGGGAGAGGAUGGAGAGAAAACAGGGGAGGAAGUUCUAGAUUUGGGGUCUCUCAGGAAAUCCCCGCAGACCCACCACAUCAGCCUCGCAGGGAGGGAGUCUCCUGCCCCAGGCACAGACAUUCCUGUCACCUCCUGGGGAGGCCUCCUCUGCCCCCUGCCGAGAGAGCUCUUUGAAUCCCCAGGGCACCUUGUCUGUAAGCAUUUUAUGGCUCUAACGGCUUUCUGCCUUUGGUUGCAGGCAUUUGCACUCCUGUCUCCUCUUCCUUAAGGAACCAAUGUGGGGUGGGGGGGGCCUUAUUAUUCUGCGUCCCUCUCAGCAGCUCCCACAGCGCCCAGUGCCUGGCAUGUGCUCCACAGACACACGAAGAAAUGAAGGCGGGUACAGGAGAGGAAGGGGACAAGAGGACAGAGGAAGGUCAGAAUGGCCUGCUUCACCAAUUGCCCCCUGCCCUGCCAUCCACCGCCAACUCCAGGCCCCACGAUGGCCCACCAGGGCACCAGACCAUGUGCAAGGUGGGCAGCAGGCUGGGUUUCAGGCAGAGCGGAGGCCCGCUGGGCUCCUCGAGGUCUGGCCUCGCCUCAGGCCUCCGCCCAGGUGGGAAGCACUCCUGCAGCCAUUGCAUCUGCACGGCCAUAAUUGAGCCUCUCUCUCUAGAGUGAUUUGUGUGUCAAAAAUACGCCAAGACUGUAAAUCAGGUGGUAGGAAGCUCUGUCUCCUGUUUUGCUGCUCAACCAAAGGGAGACAGACUGUACUGCCACGGGCUCCCAGAUCUGGAAAACCACAUCUGAUUUCAGAGGAGGUUUUUAACAGGCAUUAACAGGGGCCAGUGCUGGGGAGCAGGGCUCCCAGCUCUCCCUCCCUGGCCCAGCCACCUCCUCCCAGCUGGGGGGCUUAGCCGGCGGGGGACCUGAAAGCCAGGUGCCUAACAAACCCUGGUGUUCAAUAGCAGCUGCUCCAGCUCCUCCCCAGGAGGCUCCGGAGGGGAAUUUUCCACUGCCCAGUUCCAUUUAGCUCUGCCUGCCUGUGCUGCUGCCUUGACUCUUCCCAGUGAGAGCAGGAAGGUGGGGACCGGCACAGAGUCUCCCCAUCCAAAGGGGCUGCCACCGGCCAGAGGUGUCCGUGGGAGGCGGGUGGGACAGAGGAGUAGGUGUUGUUUGUUUCCUGUGCCCUGGCCCUACCUCACUAUUCUCUGAACCUGGAACGCUGGGUGUGUGGAGGUGCUGUGAGUGGGAACCAGGCCACCUUUUGAGUAGGGAGGAGAGAAUCAAGGCCCUGGUUGCAGGGAGUGGGGACAGAAGGCGAUAAGUCUCCCCCUCCCCGUGUCCCUCCCUUUCUCAGGAUGUCUGAGAGAUGCCCAGCGUGGGUGGGUGCUCCCUCCCCCCUGCCUCCGCUCCUCCUCCUCCCCGGAACUGCCGCCUCCUCCGCCUGAGUGGCUGAUGCCCUCUGGGUUCUGUUUUCAUUCCAGGCUGUGGAUCCGGUCGUGGGAAGCAGGUAGGAAACCAUGAUUCUGGGGGUUAAAUGAAGAAUUAUAUUUAGUGCUCACAGAAAGCCAAAUAUUGGGUUAGCAGCCAGGAAUGGAGAGGGAAAAAACCCAAAGCAAACAGCAGAGGAAAGAAAUUCCUACCAAACAAGGUCCCUAUUCAUUCUUCCAGUCCCAGGUGCAGGGGCCUGCAGGGGUGAGACCUGCCGAAUGUACGUAGCCCCUCCUGUGCUCAUGGCUGUGGAGACACAAGGAGCAUGCAGACCCGGACUUUGAUGAGACCCCAAACUCAGAUCCUGCAUUGCCUGUCCCCAAGGGGCCAAGGGACUCUCAGCCCUCAGCCCAAAGGCUGUCGAUAUCUCUACUGGCAAGAGUACCCCAGAGCUCACUACGUUGGUUGGUCCUAAAGCCUUUGGGAGCCAGAGGUGGGAUGGGGAGGAGGAGCAAAGUGAAAGGUUCCUGGUUUGACCUUGAAUAAGUGAUUUAAUCUCCCUGGGCCUCAUGUAUGGAGUGCAGGGGUUGGAUUAUGGUUUCACAGGUGUAACAUCCUGUUAUUCUGUGUCUGCCUAAAACAAAUAAGAGUGUGAGCAAGGUUAUGACAGCAGUACCCAUCUGUUACUGUGAGCGUUGAAGGUGAGGCCUGGAGAGAUAAAGCCAUGUGCUUCAGCUCGUUCUCCCCCUCAGCUUUCUGUGCCUCAGCCCUCCACAGAGAAGACUGCUAGGCCUGAGCUGACUCCCCUGGAAACCCCAGACUCCAGUGACGUGCUUCUGGAACCUGCUCAGACAAAGUUAGGUAAGAGCCUGGGCAGUGGGUGGGUUGCAACACCCAGCCUGGCUGACCAGAAAGCUGAAGAGGACUGGAAGUUCAAGAAGAAGUAGAGAGGAGGUGGAGAGAGAGAAAGGGCAGAAGGAGGAGACAUCGAAGACCUCCCGAACAUCUUCUGUGGGAUCUCAGAGAAGGCAAAGCUCACCCUCCUGACUCCAGGACUCAUUUGUGUCCAGCCACUGAAUUAUCUACUUGUUACCCCUCCUGUGGAUCUCUCCCGAGGGAAAGAUCUACCUUGGAAGGCUGGUAAUAAAAGAUGUGGAGCUGAGCCACCUUUGGCCACGUAGAUGAAGACACCUUAGAAGAUGGCAGAGACACAAAAUGGAAAAGCCCUGGGUCUCCAUAAGAUGACAUGGUGGACAUCUGCCCUGCCAGUCUGGACCAUUCAUUUCCAGACUAUGAGUGAGAAAUAUGCUUCCAUCUUAUUUAAGCAACUGUAUUUGGGUGGGUUUUUUUGGUUUUUUUUGUGGUUGUUGUUGUUGUUAUCGGAGCUUAGUUUUUACUCUAACAAAUACAGCUACCCAACUCACUUUAUGAGAAUCUUAACUUUAAUACCAAAACUCAAUAAGCACACAGUAUGCCAAAAAAAUUGUAGAGCAAUAUCAUUUAUGAUCAUAAAUGCAGGGCUUCUAAAUAAAAUACUAGCAAAUUAAAUUCAGGGAACUAAAUUUAUAAAAUCAAGCAUGACCUAGUUGUGUUUAUCUCAAUAAUUCAAGAAUGGAAUGGCUCAACAUAAAAUCUAUUAAAGUACACUACUUUAACAGAUUAAAGGGAAAAAACCCACUUAAUCAACAGAAUAGUGAUUCAAUCAAUCAGAAAAAAUAUUUGCUAAAAUUCAACACUCAUACAAUUGGGUGUGUAAAC